UGGGGAAUAUUGCACAAUGGGCGCAAGCCUGAUGCAGCCAUGCCGCGUGUAUGAAGAAGGCCUUCGGGUUGUAAAGUACUUUCAGCGGGGAGGAAGGGAGUAAAGUUAAUACCUUUGCUCAUUGACGUUACCCGCAGAAGAAGCACCGGCUAACUCCGUGCCAGCAGCCGCGGCAAUACGGAGGGUGCAAGCGUUAAUCGGAAUUACUGGGCGUAAAGCGCACGCAGGCGGUUUGUUAAGUCAGAUGUGAAAUCCCCGGGCUCAACCUGGGAACUGCAUCUGAUACUGGCAAGCUUGAGUCUCGUAGAGGGGGGUAGAAUUCCAGGUGUAGCGGUGAAAUGCGUAGAGAUCUGGAGGAAUACCGGUGGCGAAGGCGGCCCCCUGGACGAAGACUGACGCUCAGGUGCGAAAGCGUGGGGAGCAAACA
rnacentral:rRNA from 1 species